rnacentral:rRNA from 1 species
GGGGAUGACGUCAAAUCAUCAUGCCCCUUAUGACCUGGGCUACACACGUGCUACAAUGGACGGUACAAAGAGCUGCAAGACCGCGAGGUGGAGCUAAUCUCAUAAAACCGUUCUCAGUUCGGAUUGUAGGCUGCAACUCGCCUACAUGAAGCUGGAAUCGCUAGUAAUCGCGGAUCAGCAUGCCGCGGUGAAUACGUUCCCGGGCCUUGUACACACCGCCCGUCACACCACGAGAGUUUGUAACACCCGAAGUCGGUGGG